rnacentral:rRNA from 1 species
GAACGAGAGAAGAGAAGCUUGCUUUUCUGAUCUAGUGGCGGACGGGUGAGUAACACGUGAGCAAUCUGCCUUUCAGAGGGGGAUACCGAUUGGAAACGAUCGUUAAUACCGCAUAAUAUAAUUGAACCGCAUGAUUUGAUUAUCAAAGAUUUAUCGCUGAAAGAUGAGCUCGCGUCUGAUUAGCUAGUUGGUAAGGUAACGGCUUACCAAGGCGACGAUCAGUAGCCGGACUGAGAGGUUGAUCGGCCACAUUGGGACUGAGACACGGCCCAGACUCCUACGGGAGGCAGCAGUGGGGAAUAUUGCACAAUGGAGGAAACUCUGAUGCAGCGAUGCCGCGUGAGGGAAGAAGGUUUUAGGAUUGUAAACCUCUGCCUUCAGGGACGAAAAAUGACGGUACCUGAGGAGGAAGCUCCGGCUAACUACGUGCCAGCAGCCGCGGUAAUACGUAGGGAGCGAGCGUUGUCCGGAAUUACUGGGUGUAAAGGGAGCGUAGGCGGGAUCGCAAGUCAGAUGUGAAAACUAUGGGCUUAACCCAUAAACUGCAUUUGAAACUGUGGUUCUUGAGGUGAAGUAGAGGUAAGCGGAAUUCCUA